rnacentral:rRNA from 1 species
AUUGAACGCUGGCGGCAUGCCUUAACACAUGCAAGUCGAACGGUAACAGGCCUUCGGGCGCUGACGAGUGGCGGACGGGUGAGUAACGCGUAGGAAUCUGCCUGGUAGUGGAGGACAACCCGGGGAAACUCGGGCUAAUACUGCAUACGCCCUACGGGGGAAAGCGGGGGAUCUUCGGACCUCGCGCUAUCAGAUGAGCCUGCGUUGGAUUAGCUUGUUGGUGGGGUAAAAGCCUACCAAGGCGACGAUCCAUAGCUGGUCUGAGAGGAUGAUCAGCCACACUGGGACUGAGACACGGCCCAGACUCCUACGGGAGGCAGCAGUGGGGAAUAUUGGACAAUGGGGGCAACCCUGAUCCAGCAAUGCCGCGUGUGUGAAGAAGGCCUGCGGGUUGUAAAGCACUUUCAGUGGGGAAGAAAAGCGGGCGCUUAAUACGUGCUUGUCUUGACAUCACCCACGGAAGAAGCACCGGCUAACUCCGUGCCAGCAGCCGCGGUAAUACGGAGGGUGCGAGCGUUAAUCGGAAUUACUGGGCGUAAAGCGCACGUAGGUGGUUAUGUCAGUCAGAUGUGAAAGCCCCGGGCUUAACCUGGGAAUUGCAUCUGAUACUGCAUGGCUAGAGUUUGGUAGAGGAGAGUGGAAUUUCCGGUGUAGCGGUGAAAUGCGUAGAUAUCGGAAGGAACACCAGUGGCGAAGGCGACUCUCUGGACUAAAACUGACACUGAGGUGCGAAAGGGUGGGGAGCAAACAGGAUUAGAUACCCUGGUAGUCCACGCUGUAAACGAUGAGAACUAGCCGUUGGGGGGAAUUAACCCCUUAGUGGCGCAG